UCGUAUUUUUAGUCUUGUUCACGGAGAAUGAAUAAAAUUUGGGCUCAAACAACUCAUUUUUAAGCUUAAUUUUCGGACCUAGCCCAUAACAACCCAAACCCAAUACCCAAUAUCCUUAAAACCCUAAACUUAGACUUAAAAGGACCUAGACCUAAAAGGGCAUCAGUCGUUCCUACACAAAAGAACACUCCCAAGAAAUGAGUGAUCUUCCCCAAGUAAAAAUCUAGAAAUGGAAUCCCUAUUUCCAAUUCCAUUCCCCACUGUAUUUUCAAAUCAAAUCCCCGCUCUGAUUUGAGGUCUUCAGACGCCUCUCAUUUCCUAAAUAAAAAUUUUAAACUCAAAAACCUUUCUUCAGCUAGCGGCCUCACCCAGUGCUUGGAACCUUGGGCCGCCGAAGACCCCUCUGCCGAUAACCACCAGAAACAAUCCCUUUCUCUAGUUAAAAAAUAGCCAAAAAACGCAGUUGAAAUCACCUUGAGCAACGCUGCACAAACUAGCCAUGGACAUCACCUAAGCUCCCUUAGAAACAACCAUCAAAAUCCCGGGCAAAGCACAGUCAGAAUCAGUUCACAAAACACACAAACUCCAGUCAAGCUCGAGCUUUGCCGACGAGUUUUCCGUUCGAACUCCGGUCACAUUUCAAUUCUCGUAUAAUUUUCAAUCGGAGUUUGCUGUUGCGCUUUCAUUUGGCGGAGCCUUUGCUGUACGUUGGUUUACUUUGGGGUUUCUUAAUAUUCUAAUCCAAAAAGGAGUUACUGCAGUGAAAGAUCUUGGGGAGUUUGGGAGCUAGACAAGGGAAAAUCUGACAAAAGGGAUUACAGAACAAUAGUUCUUCAAAAUAAUCUUGAAAUCCUUUUCAUCAGUGACCCAGAAACUAUUAAAGUAUGUUACUUUUAUUCAUUUGUAUUUUACUUUUGUACGUUUCCUUCAAUUCCUCUUAUAUGGGUUUAGCUUGAAAUUAUUUGGUUUCAUUAAUAGCAUAUUAAUUUCAUUUUUGUUGUUUUAUUUUGGAGUAUCUGUUAGUGUGCAGCUUCAAGGAACCUUGGUUUGGUUUGGACCUUAGUUUAAUUGAACCUUUGUUCUUGAAAAUGCUUAUUUUAAUUGCACUAUAUGUCAGACUGAUUCUAUCAUAUCAAAUUUCCAAAUACUGAAAACUUAGAGAAGGAUUCCAAUCCAACACUUUUGUUGCAGCUGAUACAUAAAUUUGGCCUCACAAUAAUCUCAAUUAGAUUAGGAAAUAAAGCACAAACAUCAUAGCUUGCUUUAGGUGCGAUUAAUAAUAAAUCGUCGUGAUUGUGGGUACGGUUCUCGUGGCAUAGUCAUGAUAUAUUAAAUCCAAAUGCUGGGAUGUAUUUCAUGUGACCCGACCAUAAUUUUGAAUAAUAAUAAAUAAAAUAAACGUGUCGUGAAUCUUGGGUGCAUUUCAUGUAGCGUGGUUUACGAUGUGUUUUCAAAAAUAAGCAAGUGUAUGACGAUCAUGAAUUUUCCUAAAAUAAUUAAAAGUGGCUAGAAAGUUAAAAAUGCAAUAGUUCUAAACAUGUAUUAAAUCAGAUAAACAGACCAAUAUUAAUAGUUCAGCGACUGUGAUAAAACCACGAAACUCGUGAAUGCCUAACACCUUCUUCCGGGUUAACAGAAUUCCUUACCCGGAUUUCUGUGUUUGUAGACCAUAAAUAGAGUCAACUUUCCUCGAAAUCACGUAAAGGCACGUCAACAGGCUAUAAAGAAACAGUAAAAGCCAGUAAAAACAAUGAAACAGUGGAAAUAUGUAAAGUCAUUUUAGUUCAGUUUAAGCUUCUUUAGAAAUGCCUUUUUAACAGUUAAGCAAUUAAAUGCAAAACAGCUAGAACAAAUAAACACAUAAGAAUCCAGCCCUCGGGCACAAUGUCAACAGAAUCCGCCCCUCGGGCAAUAUCAUGGAACAAUCACAGCCCCUCGGGCUAUAUCACAUGUCACAAUGGGUACCCGCGCUCACUGGGGGUGUGCAGACUCCUGGAGUGUCCCCUUACGACCCAAGCGCAAUAUCAAGCCAUCUCGUGGCAUAAUCACAUAGGCUUUCGGCCUCAUAUCAACAAGCCACCUCGUGGCGUAAAUUCUCAGGCCCUCGGCCUCAUAAUCAUAAUCAGUGUAUCACUGCUGCGGCGUGCAGCCCAACCCAAAAGUAUCCUCACAACAUAGGCCCUCGGCCUUACUCAGUCAGAAUCUCAUAAGCCACUCGGGCAACAGUAAAACAUGAUGCUCAGUCCAAAAUAUCACUUAAAGUAUCAUUUAAUGUGUUAAAAUAAAGUAAACAUGGUUGAGUUAUAAAACAAGUAGAAUAUAGCAUGACUGAGUUCAAGUAUAAAGUCAAAACAGUAGGGAAAUAUCAGGAAAAGUCCCCUAAGGGUUCAAAUAGUUGGCACGAGGCCCAAAUAUGGCAUUAAGCCCAAAACAUAAUGAUAACAAAUAAUUUUCAGUCAAAUACGCGGUAAAACAAUCAUUUGGGAUGGACUAAGUCACAAUCCCCAAUAGUGCACGACCCAACGCUCGUCAUCUAGCGUGUGCGUCACCUCAAUAUAGCACAACGAUGUGCAAUUCAGGGUUUUAUACCCUCAGGACAACAUUUACAAUCAUUACUCACCUCAAUCCGAGCAAAAUCCUACUCCGAAAUGCUUUUGCCGCUCAAAUCGGCCUCCAAACGUCCCGAAUCUAGUCAUAAUUAACUUGAUUCAUUCAAUACAUAUUAUAGGAAUUAAUUCCAUAUGAAAAUACUAAUUUUUCAACAAAAUCCGAAAUUAACCCAAAAAUCGCCCGUGGGGCCUCCAUCUCGGAAUACAACAAAACUUACGGAAUGUAAACCCCCAUCCAACCACGAGUCCAACCAUACAAAUUUCACCAAAAUCCGACAUCGGAUUGACUUUCAAAUCUUAAAAAUUUGUCUUUAUGGAAUUUUAGAAAAUUCCUCCAUUUCUCUUCAAAUAUCAAUAAUCUAAUGCCAAAAAUGAAGAUUUAUUCAUGAAUAUAAUCACAAGGGAGUCAAGAACACUUACCCAAAUUUUGUGGUGAACUUUUCCUCUGAAAAUUGCCCAAACCGAGCUUGGGAGUCCAAAAAUGAAAGAAAAUUCGGACUGCUCUAUCUAGAAUUUUUCGCGGUACUAUUCACGGAUACUGUUCACGGAUAUUGUUUACGGAUACUGUACACGGCUACUGUACAUGGAUACUGUGCACGUAUAUUGUUCACGCAGGUGCGGUCACUAUUCACACGUGCGAAAAAUGCAGAAACUGCCCAGAAAAUUUCAGCAGAUAAAUACAAGUCCGAAUUGAUCUGUUAACCUUCCGAAAUCCACUCGAGGCCCUCGAGACCUCAACAAAAUACACCAACAAGUCCUAAAACAUCAUACGAACUUAGGCGAAACCUUAAAUCACAUCAUAAAAUGCUAAAACCGUGCAUCACACCCCAAUUCAAGCCUAAUGAAUCUAAGAAGUCCAACUUCUAUAUUCGAUGCAAAAACAUAUCAAAUCAAGUCUGAAUGACUUUCAAUUUUGCAUACAAGUCAUAAAUGACAUAACGAAACUAUGAAAAUUUUCAUAACUGGAUUCCGACCCUGAUAUCAAAAAGUCAACCCCCGGUCAAACUUCCAAACUUAAAUUUCUUAUUUUCGCCAUUUCAAGUCUAUUUUAGCUACGGACCUCGAAAUAAAUAUCCGGACACACUCCUAAGCCCAAAAUCACCAUACGGAGCUAUUGAAAUUAUCAAAAAUCUAUUCCGGAGUCAUUUGCUCAAAAGUCAAAUCUCCGGUCAAACUUAAAAAAUCUUUAGCCUUAGAUUUCUAGAUUUCGUUAAAUGAUGAUAAUUUGAUCUAGGGACCUCCGAAUUCGAUUUUGGGCAUAUGACCAAGUCCCAAAUCACGAUAUGGUGCUACCGGAAUGGUCAAAACUCAAAUCCAGGUUCGUUUGCUCAAAAUGUUGACCAAAGUCAACUUAGUUGAGUUUUAAAGCUCUAAUUCACAAUUUAAUCUAUUUUUCACAUAAAAACCUUCCAGAAAAUUAUACGGACUGUGCACGCAAGUCGAGAAAUAAUUAAUAGCGCUCUUCAAGGUCUUAAAACUCCAAGAUGAGUAUUAAUUUAAAGAUGACAUUUUGGGUCAUCACAUAAACACUCAAUUCAUCAUAUCCGUAAAAGUUGUUUGUGUGUUAGUUAAGCCAAAGGACACAACAAGAAACUCGUAAUGACCAUAUACGGUCCGAAAGGCUGUCUUCGGAAUAUCUUCUUCAUUAAUUCUUAACUGAUGAUACCCAGAUCUGAGAUCAAUCUUCGAAAAAUGCUUAGCGCUUUGCAAUUGAUCAAACAAAUCAUCGAUCCUUGGAAGAGGAUACUUAUUCUUUAUGGUUACCUUAUUCCGCUUUCGAUAAUCAAUGCACAUCCUCUACGAAUAGUAUUUCUUUUGAACGAAUAGCAUUGGAGCUCCCCACAUGGAAGUACUGGGUCGGAUAAAACCCUUAUCUAAAAGAUCUUUCAUUUGAGCUUUCAAUCCCUUCAACUCGGUAGGAGCCAUCCUGCACAGAGGGAUAGAUAUCGAUUGCGUAUCGAGUGGCACAAUGAUGGAAAACUCAAUCUCUCUCUCUGGUGGUAUACCCGGGAUCUCAUCACGGAACACAUUAGAAAAUUCACUAACAAAUGGAACCAAUCGUGAAAUUCACUAAUAUAGAGGCAAUUUCAAGCUUUAUUCAUGCUAGAUCCUACGAGAUUCGCCUCCGAUUUAGCUUUAGACUACUUGAAAAUUUAAAAAAAAUGGAUUUGAGAGCAUCUUGGGGGAACUAAAGUGAGUGAUAUCUCCUAGAAUGAAAGAGAAGAGAUGUGCACUACCCUUUUAUAUACUUAGUCUAGAAAACUCUGCCACUCCGAAUGCCAAAUGGGUUGCCCCGCACCGGCCACUGCGCCCGAUGGGACAACUGGCGCAAUUUGGUCACAUGUAGUCACCCCUGUGCACGUGCCACCAUAUGGUUGGUUGUACUUACCUCAUGAAUCUUCAACUUUGUAUGUGGGGGAAUAGUGUGGGUGUAACAAUUUCAAGAAUCUAUAUGAAUUAUUAACAUACAAGAUAUGAAAUUUUGAAAUAAAAUUUGAGGUUUUGACUACACUUUAAGAGAGUGUAUUUUGCAGAUUUGAGGGUUUGGACUUGAUUUUGGAAUCUAAUCACAUAUUUGGAUUCAACAAAUUAUGAGUCAUCAGGAUUGGUGUUGGUUCAAAAUUUUAAAAUUUUAAACAUGCGGGCCCGGAUUGAAUUUUGUUGAUUUUUUAGGGAUUUUCUAAAGAUCAAAGCUUUACGGAUUGAGGUUACUUCCUAUAGCAUUGUUUGACUUUCUCGGAUGAUGUUUUGGCUUGGAUUUACAUAAUUGGAGGGCUAGAACGAGAUUUUAACGCGAUUUGAGGUUGAA
rnacentral:lncRNA from 1 species